UCGGCCCCUAAGGCGAGGCAGAAAUGCGUAGUCGAUGGGAAGCAUGUUAAUAUUCCUGCACCGACGUGUAAUGCGAUGGGGGGACGGAUCGUGGAAAGUGGUCCAGGUGUUGGAUAUCCUGGUCCCUGCAUCAUAGAGGACAGUUAGGCAAAUCCGGCUGUCAUAUACUCAAGGGUGUGGGGGGAAGUAGCUACGGCUACGAACCCAUUGGAAGUGGUCCCAAGAAAAGCCUCUAAGCUUCAGUUACACGUUGACCGUACCGCAAACCGACACAGGUGGGCGAGAUGAGUAUUCUAAGGCGCUUGAGAGAACUCAGGAGAAGGAACUCGGCAAAUUGGUACCGUAACUUCGGGAGAAGGUACGCCCUUGUAGCUUGACCAUGAACAAUGGAAGGGUGAAGGGGUUGCAAUAAAAUGGUGGCUGCGACUGUUUAAUAAAAACACAGCUCUCUGCAAACACGAAAGUGGACGUAUAGGGUGUGACGCCUGCCCGGUGCUGGAAGAUUAAAUGAUGGGGUGCAAGCUCUUGAUUGAAGUCCCAGUAAACGGCGGCCGUAACUAUAACGGUCCUAAGGUAGCGAAAUUCCUUGUCGGGUAAGUUCCGACCUGCACGAAUGGCGUAACGAUGGCCACACUGUCUCCUCCUGAGACUCAGCGAAGUUGAAAUGUUUGUGAUGAUGCAAUCUCCCCGCGGAAAGACGGAAAGACCCCAUGAACCUUUACUGUAGCUUUGUAUUGGACUUUGAACAGAUCUGUGUAGGAUAGGUGGGAGGCUUUGAAGCGGUGCCGCUAGGUAUCGUGGAGCCAACGUUGAAAUACCACCCUGGUGUGUUUGAGGUUCUAACCUAGGUCCAUUAUCUGGAUCGGGGACAGUGCAUGGUAGGCAGUUUGACUGGGGCGGUCUCCUCCCAAAGCGUAACGGAGGAGUUCGAAGGUACGCUAGUUACGGUCGGACAUCGUGACGAUAGUGCAAUGGCAUAAGCGUGCUUAACUGCGAGACUGACAAGUCGAGCAGAUGCGAAAGCAGGACAUAGUGAUCCGGUGGUUCUGUAUGGAAGGGCCAUCGCUCAACGGAUAAAAGGUACUCUGGGGAUAACAGGCUGAUACCGCCCAAGAGUUCAUAUCGACGGCGGUGUUUGGCACCUCGAUGUCGGCUCAUCGCAUCCUGGGGCGGUAGUACGUCCCAAGGGUUGGGCUGUUCGCCCAUUAAAGCGGUACGUGAGCUGGGUUCAGAACGUCGCGAGACAGUUCGGUCCAUAUCCGGCGUGGGCGUUAGAGUAUUGAGAGUGACCUUUCUCUAGUACGAGAGGACCGAGAAAGACAUACCGCUAGUGUACCAGUUAUCGUGCCAUCGGUAUAUGCUGGGUAGCUAUGUAUGGUUUGGAUAACCGCUGAAGGCAUCUAAGUGGGAAGCCGUCCUCAAGAUGAGUACUCUUAGGUUGCGGCAAGACUAGCCGUUUGAUAGGCAUCCGGUGUAAGUGUAGCAAUAUAUUUAGCCAAGAU
rnacentral:rRNA from 1 species